rnacentral:tRNA from 1 species
GGGGGUAUGGCGGAAUGGUAGACGCUACGGACUUAAAAUCCGUUGACCGGUAAGGUCGUGAGGGUUCAAGUCCCCCCAUCCCCA